rnacentral:rRNA from 1 species
UGAGGAAUAUUGGUCAAUGGGCGAGAGCCUGAACCAGCCAUGCCGCGUGCAGGAAGACGGUUCUAUGAAUUGUAAACUGCUUUUCUACAGGAAGAAACCACCUUACGAGUAAGGUGUUGCCGGUACUGUAGGAAUAAGCAUCGGCUAACUCCGUGCCAGCAGCCGCGGUAAUACGGAGGAUGCAAGCGUUAUCCGGAUUCAUUGGGUUUAAAGGGUGCGUAGGCGGAAUAGUAAGUCAGUGGUGAAAUCCUGCGGCUCAACCGUAGAAUUGCCAUUGAAACUGUUAUUCUUGAAUGUAGUUGAGGUAGGCGGAAUGUGUAAUGUAGCGGUGAAAUGCAUAGAUAUUACACAGAACACCGAUUGCGAAGGCAGCUUACUAAGCUAAGAUUGACGCUGAUGCACGAAAGCGUGGGGAGCGAACAGGAUUAGAUACCCUGGUAGUCCACGCUGUAAACGAUGAUCACUCGUUGUUUGCGAUAUACAGUAAGCGACUGAGCGAAAGCAUUAAGUGAUCCACCUGGGGAGUACGUCGGCAACGAUG